UACAGAGGGCGCGAGCGUUGUCCGGAAUCACUGGGCGUAAAGGGCGCGUAGGUGGCGGCAUAAGGCCGUGGUGAAAGUCGGGGGCUCAACCCUCGAAUGCCGGUGGAUACUGUCGGGCUAGAGUGCGGAAGAGGCGAGUGGAAUUCCUGGUGUAGCGGUGAAAUGCGCAGAUAUCAGGAGGAACACCUAUUGCGAAGGCAGCUCGCUGGGACGUAACUGACGCUGAGACGCGAAAGCGUGGGGAGCAAACAGG
rnacentral:rRNA from 1 species